rnacentral:tRNA from 1 species
GUCCCCGUCGAUUAGUGGUUAGAUCAUCACGUUGUGGAUUAAGCAGCACCGUGAAGACGCAGGCUCGACUCCUGCCAGGGACA